GUAUUCUAUGCCAAGAAGCAGCUAUUGCUUGUUCAGCAGCAGGUUGCGUUUAUCUUUAUGGCAUUAUAACGGUUGGCAGCAGAUCGCACCACAGGUGUCCCACUUUAACACACACACAUUUCCAAACACACACAUGUUAAGUCCAGAAAACCUGCCGGCUGCAGUUCACUGAUUCCUUGGUGAGCGACGUGCAUCAUUACCAGCUUUUAAAUGCAGUGGUGUCCUGCCUUCAGGACUUUUUAAAAGGCUGUCUGUCUCCCCCUCCUUAAAGCACCUCACCCACUACUCACACUCUUUAAAGUGCUACUAAAGAGGCUUAACGGCCCAUUCCAAAAGGCCUGCAUGGGGCAUUUGUGCUUGAUUUGAAGAAGAAAAAAACACUUGCUGUGAAAACACGGUCCUUCAGUGAGAGCCCUUGUGGAGUGUGCACAGUUGCUUUGCCGUGGUGUUAAAGAGAAGAAGAUUGGGCAGGAAUAAAGACUGAAGGAUUUCCAAGAUUGGGCAGGAAUAGAGGGAUCCUUCACAGUUAUUAUCUCCAUACAUCCAGAUCACGGGCAUCAUCUCAGAGAUCUUGGACUCAGUAAAGCUGGCAUUUGCAGCCCCCUCCAGGUGUGUGUGCACCCCUCAUCUCUGAUCCACUUCACGCUUCACGCCAGACACGUCACUCGCUGGGGACACGCCUCCUCCGGAUACGGCUCGCAACGGUCGCUGCUGCCACCUGGCUGCCAGGAGAGCGUACUACGUCUGAGCUGAUUAAACUGUUCACUUCUUCCAGUUCUGAGUGCCUGCUUUUUUGGGGUCCACCGGUCUCUCACCUAACCUGACAGUUUGAAGCUUAUAUUUACUACAUGGUUGGAAACUUGGACGUACUAUUUUAGGUUAAAAUGCACCUCAUGUUGUAAACAAAUAUUGAGGACGACAGCAGUAGACACUUUUCAGGUCAGAAUAAUUUUAAACAAGAUUUACAGCCAAACAAAGGACUUUCUACCUGAAAAAGUGGCUACUUCUGUCACAUGGAUGUGGUUUGGACAAAAAAAAAAAAAGAACG